GGGGCGGGGAACCUCAGACUUGGAGGCUGAGUGUGGCCCUUCAGGCCCCUCUACCUGGCCCUUGAAACUCUCCUCAGGCCGCACCCCCGAAAUUGCCUGGUUUUAUACCCCCAAGUGUUUUCCCCCGGCUGGAAUGUGACAUUGAAUGCUGAUAGGGCCUCUUGCCUGCCUGCAUGCCUUGCCCAUCUUGAGGCCUGUGAGUUUCCUCAGGACUCGUAAGCAGGAGAUAAGCCCCAGCUGCGGCUUCCUGGCUGAAUUUCAGCCUAAGGAGUGCUGCCAUAGCCCUUUCUCCCAAGGCCCUUGAGGAGCCAGGGUGCUGUUUUGUGCCGGCUAGCAAGGAGAAGAGAAAGCAAGGGAGGCCAGCAAAUCUGCCCGCAUGCCUUGCCCAUCUUGAGGCCUGUGAGUUUUCCCCUGUUUGUUUCUUGCUCUGUCGCUUCUAUGGAUAAACAGUGGGCGUUUCUUGUUGCAGAUGCUUAUGGGGAGCAAACUCGAUGUGAGAGCCCUUGAGAGUGGGUGUUAAGUUGCUCAAAAGAGGGGGGUUGGCUUGCACAAAAUGGGGCUUUCUUCCUGUGAGAGGCCAAUGGGGAGCGAAUGGGCUGUCAUAAGUGAAAAACAGGGCGGGAACGGUUGCCAAGUCCAUUGGUUGUUUAAUCUGUUUAAAUGUCCUAGGUUUUGUUUUUUCCUAGCUAUUUGGUUAGAUAGGAAAUCUGAUGCUUUUGACAAUGUCGUUUAGCUUGUUUACCUUACGACAGAAUUGUUACUUUGGUGUUGGUUGGACCAGUUCGUCUCAUUUUUGCGUAUUGUUUUUCUUGUUACUUUGUUCCCUGCUCCGGGCCUGGAAAUACUCCGCGAAGAGCAGGCUAUAAAUACUCUUAAAAAGAAAAAAGGGGGGAAAAGUGGCCAUUGGGUUGAAUUAGGCUUGCCACCCCCGACUUAAACAACUGAAAAAUGACAAGGAUGUAUCACAGCAUGGAACAUUGUUUUUCCCGUUGCAAAUUGUUGUGCUUACUCACCAAAACAGCAAUGCAAUUUGUUAGAAUCCAGGCAUAGUAUAUAUGUUUUGAGCAGAAAUAGCCUCUUUUAAGAGUAUUGGGUUCCUUUCAUUUGCUGGCUUUGCGUGAGGCAAAUGGUUUGAGUAGUAGUACUCUGAGGAAACAGUCUAGCUGAAAAUGUUCCUCCAGGUAAAUGAAUCGGGAGUCUCUCAACCCACACUUGGUUCUUCUGGGGAAUAUCCCACAGCCAUGUUUAAACACAUUUACAUUUUCUCAGGAGUCGGGUACUUCUCCUGUCUCCCACGACUCCUGGGAAAACAUAAAUGACUUUAAACAUGGCCACCCUGACAAAACCAUGGUGCAGCCAUUUUGUUUUUUCUGCGCGUUUCGCUAUUGACCAUUUUAAGCCUGCAUUGUUGGAGGAGGCCCUCCAUAGAUUUUUUAUUUAACCUUAAUCCUUGCAUGUAAAAUGACAUUCACAAUGGAAAGAGAAAGCUUUAUGCCCUUCCCUUCUUCCUGGGAAUUAUCGCAAGGAGCGGGAAGAUAAAAGUUGCCCAAAAAUGGGCGUCGAGAAUUUGACAACCUGUUCUCCGCCCUCAGUCUCACUUGGGCAGCGAUUGAGUUUUCAUGUCCUGCUGCUGGCUGGUGAAGUUUUAGCAAUGACAUACCCAGCUAGGAAUCGAAUCACUUUGAUGCCUUAUCUCCCGAGAUAAGGUUUAGUGGCCUGUUUGGUGGCUGUUGUAAUGCUACUUUAACAGCUUCUUCUUGAAGUGUCACGGAAGUGCUUUAUUGCCUAUUGUGAGAAUGGAAAAGUUGACACCAUCCGCAGCAGCAGCAGCCUUUUGCAAGAUGGCUGCCAAGGGCCCCCAACAAAAUGGCCGCUGCCUGGUCGGUUGAAACUUGUGCCUUUUGCUUUUCCCCUACAAUAACUACCACUGGGGGGUGCUGCUUGAAAAGAAGAUGGUCUUCAUUGAAAACCAGAUGUUCACUUUCCAUGGAGGAUGAGAAGGGGUGGGGGAGACAAGCUGGGCCGCGGGAAUUCACGGUAUCAAGGGGGCACAUCCCACCCACCCACCCCAAAUAUAAUGGCCCCUGUCAGAAGACCUGUGGCAUACUGCUUCCUGCAACUGGGAAGCUUUAAAUUUUGUGGCUUUAAGAGCAGAAAGGCAUCCACACUGGCUGGGGGAGCGGGGGUUCAUCUUUUAAGAAGUGGGUAAAAUUAGAUAUAAUGUUAUUGCUGCUGUGAAAUCAUGACCUCUUGAGCUCAAAAUAAGAGGCAUUUGUCUAGUAAGGCACUCCCGUUGAGAGUUUUUCUCCCCCCCCACACUGAGAUUCUGCAAAUCUCUGGAUAGCAAAUGCAGGACAAGGUGGGAGAAAAAGGACAGUUUUCCCUGGCUUAAGAGGCAACGUUUUUUGGGAGCAACAUUUUUAGGUGGUUUCUACAGCUAGUGCUCGGGGUGUCCUGAGCAGAGAAAAACUCUAAAAAUUCUCACUUUCUCUAGGGAAUAUUGGCCAAAAAAAAAACCCCUUAAUGCAUCUCACUACCAAGGAAAUGUAACAAGCAAAUAGAAAGAGGACCUAUCCAGUUGACGCUGACACAAAAUCCCACACGUACACUAUAAAAAAGAAAAUAAGUUUCACCCCCCUUUUUUCCUUCUUUUUUCCUUUCUUCUCUGACCUUAUACUGUACUCAACACUGUCUCACAACAAAUGUAACCGAUCUGUAGAAAGAACUUUACAACCUGAAAAAAGAGACAAUGCAUGUACUUUUGUAAACCAAGAAAAUCUUUAAUAAAAAUGAUUAAAAAAAAGUAAUAAAGAAAAACCCAGUAUACACUAUGUAAACGCCACACAUUUAAUGCACAUCCGCCCUGCCCCCCCAAAUCUUGGGAACUGUAAUUUGUUAAAAUACAAAUACCUCAAAAGCCCACCUUUUCUGUGUUCUUUGGCACACACAAAGCCUUAAAUCCCCAUACCGUACCACAACUAUAAUUGGGGCUAAAUAUGACCUUUCAUUCAGUAAUGCAUACCUGUCUCCAGCUCACUCCCUUUGUUGUCUCACUUCUGCUGAGUUUUACAUUCCUCAGGGCAAAUACUCUGUCCUCUUGUACUUUGUAAAGUGCAAUGAACAUUGAUUAUAUUAUUGCCAGUAUGGGUAUUAACCUCUGAGAGCUCUUUAAGCAGGACAAUGAUGGUAACUUUUCCUCCCCCAGUGUAUGACUC
rnacentral:lncRNA from 1 species